rnacentral:rRNA from 1 species
CAGGCCUAACACAUGCAAGUCGAACGCAUCCUUCGGGAUGAGUGGCAGACGGGUGAGUAACACGUGGGAACGUACCCUUUGGUUCGGAACAACUCCGGGAAACUGGAGCUAAUACCGGAUACGCCCUUUUGGGGAAAGGUUUACCGCCGAAGGAUCGGCCCGCGUCUGAUUAGCUAGUUGGUGGGGUAACGGCCUACCAAGGCGACGAUCAGUAGCUGGUCUGAGAGGAUGAUCAGCCACACUGGGACUGAGACACGGCCCAGACUCCUACGGGAGGCAGCAGUGGGGAAUAUUGGACAAUGGGCGAAAGCCUGAUCCAGCAAUGCCGCGUGAGUGAUGAAGGCCUUAGGGUUGUAAAGCUCUUUUACCCGGGAUGAUAAUGACAGUACCGGGAGAAUAAGCUCCGGCUAACUCCGUGCCAGCAGCCGCGGUAAU